UUUGGUGGCGAUAGCGAAGAGGUCACACCCGUUCCCAUACCGAACACGGUAGUUAAGCUCUUCAGCGCCGAUGGUAGUCGGGGGCUUCCCCC
rnacentral:rRNA from 1 species